UCAGUUCAAUAGUAUCCAUCUGCAGACCCGCAGCACAGCCGUUUUAGAACCGCCGUUUCAGAACCGCUGUUUCAGAACCGGAAGUGAGGGGCGGAGCUAUUAACACCUAGAAAUGGCGGAGAGCACGAGACAUAUAACUAUUCAGAAUGGUGACGCAUUACCUGAGCUGCAGCAGUGCAACAAGUGUUGCAGCAAUUAUCACUGCCCUUUUUGCGCGGCCAGCGUGUUUAAGCCAGCCAAACUGGUCAAAUUAAAAAACCCAUCUUCAAAGCCACUUUAACAAAGGCAGUAGUCUGUGGAGGCUAUACUAUACACAGAUGUGGACUAGGAUGUAGACCAGCUCUACAUCACCACUGUCCAUACUGUGAAACAACAAUUUUAAAGAGAGGUGAUUUU